UCACUUUUCAGACGAAAAUUACAAAAAAUUGUCAAGGAAUCAAGUCUUACGUCUAUAUGCAGCCGAAAACUUCAAGGAGUCGCUCGUUGUAUUAUGUUCACAAUAAAACACGAGGCUCGAGGGAAGUAUUCAGGUCAGAGCGUAAAUUCAUCGAAGAGAAAUCGUAUAAAAGAAUUAUCGCAAAGUCAAAUGACAAACAAGGACCUAAAGGGGGUAAAUUUGAUAUGAGCAGAAGAUCAUGAAAUUUGUGGAGUCAUCUUCAAUUAGACGCUUGCUUGUGAGAAGUUUCAAAUCAAGACUCGAAGCGCAAGAACGAAAAACAGUCACACAAGCGACAGACAAGUUUAUAGCAGAGGCAGAACACAAAGUUAACUGGUAGAUUAUCCUUCAAACGUGAUUUGUUUCGAAACGAAUCGUAGCAGAUCGUAUAGUUCACUCUCACAAUUUACUCGCAAACAGGUUAAUUAUGGAAGACAAAAUCAAAUGGAAUUGAAUGGUUUUUUUUGCGUCCUUUUUCGCUGUAGUUUCAAAAUGACUUCAAGUCGCAACUAUUUUUUUAACUCAUUCGAAGAAAUUCAUUCAGUUGAUAGAUGACUUUAGCACAAAUAGUCAUAAUAAAAACGUUAUUUUUGCUCACGUUUUUGCUUGGUAACACCUAUUCUAAAUUUUUAAUUUUCCCGCCGAAAAACUUACAAAAGCAUGCGCCCAAUUUUUUUUAAGUGACAUCUGUUCAGAUGUGGCGAUUUUU